rnacentral:rRNA from 1 species
CAGUCGCCGCGGGAAUACGAAGGGUGCAAGCGUUACUCGGAAUUACUGGGCGUAAAGCGUGCGUAGGUGGUGGUUUAAGUCCGUUGUGAAAGCCCUGGGCUCAACCUGGGAAUUGCAGUGGAUACUGGGUCACUAGAGUGUGGUAGAGGAUAGUGGAAUUUCCGGUGUAGCAGUGAAAUGCGUAGAGAUCGGAAGGAACAUCUGUGGCGAAGGCGACUAUCUGGGCCAACACUGACACUGAGGCACGAAAGCGUGGGGAGCAAACAGGAUUAGAUACCCGCGUAGUCCCUGUCUCUUAUCC